ACACUUACCCACACACUUGCACUCACACACUCUCACACACACACUCAUAACGGCACCGACAGCCUCUUGUGCAGGGAGGACCCGGGUCAGGCAGCACGAGGCUCGGCCCCUCCCAGCAGCUCCACACCUUGGCAGCUGGCUUUCCCGCCCAGGCCCCGGGGCGUCUCUGCCAUCUGCGACACGUGUGUCCAAGCGCUUCCAGCUCCCCUCGCCCACUCCACGGCCCCAGCUGGACCCCGAGUGGCCGGAGAGCAGGUGGGCAGCCAGCGCUUAGCAGCCCAGUGGGGCAGGGGAAGGUGUGUGCCUGCCGGGGACAGACAUGCGGAGGCCUGGAACGCAGCACCAAUGGCCUCAGUCUUAUCUGGUCUUCUCCCCCCGCCCCUCAGGGCUGGCACCAGGCUGGCACAGUGUUCAGCCAUCACAGCUUUGAGGAGAGCAGGGCAAAGAGGGGAGGAAGGAAAGGCCCUGGGUAGACCCUGGCGGGUCUGUCUGCUCAUGCAGGUUGGCUGUUUGGUGUACUUUAAAAAAAAGACAAAGAGGUUGGCUGCUAUCAGGUUAUUAUAGCAGAUGACAACAUACCAACAUGGGGAGUGGAAGGUUGUUGACUGUGAAAGCAAAAUCGAUAUAAAAUAAUAUGCACCAUAGGCGUGAUUUGCAUUAAAAAUGCAUGGUUGGUGUAAAAGGAGAUUUGAAAUCUAUGUAAAAUUGUUAACAGCAGUAAUCUCUGGAUGGUAGGAAUUUGCUGUUUUAGUUCCCUCCCCCUUUUAUAAACACACAUUCUAAUUUUCUACAAGGCACAGAUGUAGUUCCUGGAU